ensembl:lncRNA novel transcript, antisense to EFCAB4B
AUGAGUGCUGGAAGCCCCAACACAAUUGUUUGGGAAUAAAUGGAAGUGAGGAAUGGAGAAGUAAGGAGGUACCACUCUCAAGGAGGCUGUCAGUAGAGGGGACAAAGAGUGUGAGAGAGGAACAGAAGAACCAAGCAGGAGACUGGAAGAGGGAUUUACAAAUCUGGAGUCCUUCCAAAACAGGACAAGUAAGACAUGAGCAGUGACUUUCUACUCUCCAUCCAGCAGCCAACAAUAGACUUCGUCAUUCAGAUGGAGCUGCAGAGGUACAGACCUGAGAGAGCUGGAAGUCAUAGAG